GGAGGUAGUGACAAUAAAUCACAAUGCGGAACUUCUGUUUUGCAAUUGGAUUGAGAACAACGCACAACACUUAUCGAUAAACAAUUGGAGGGCAAGUCUGGUGCCAGCAGCCGCGGUAAUUCCAGCUCCAAUAGCGUAUAUUAACGUUGUUGCAGUUAAAAAGCUCGUAGUUGAAGUGAAGUGUGAAUGGUUUUGAUUUUCGUUUGAAUUUCUUCUCCAUUGACACUCUUUCCAAAUAGUUUGCAUGGGUGUUUACUUAUCUGUGUAUUGCAUUUGGUCAUUACUGUGAGAAAAUUAGAGUGUUCAUAGCAUACGUUUGUUUGAAUACAUUAGCAUGGAAUAAUCUGAAAAGGCUUUCAUGUUCGAUUUGAUUGGUUUGUUCGUGAAGGCAAGAUUAAAAGGGACAGUUGGGGGUAUUCAUAUUCAAUAGUCAGAGGUGAAAUUCUCGGAUCUAUGGAAGAUGAACUAGUGCGAAAGCAUUUACCAAGGAUGUUUUCAUUAAUCAAGAACGAAAGUUAGGGGAUCGAAGAGGCUUAGAUACCCUCGUAGUCUUAACUAUAAACGAUACCGACUAGGGGUUAGUGGAGGUCAUUUGUCUCUACUAGUACCUUAUGAGAAAUCAAAGUCUUUGGGUUCCGGGGGGAGUAUGGUCGCAAGGCUGAAACUUAAAGGAAUUGACGGAAGGGCACCACCAGGAGUGGAGCCUGCGGCUUAAUUUGACUCAACACGGGGAAACUUACCAGGUCCAGACAUAGGAAGGAUAGACAGAACAAAGCUCUUUCUUGAUUCUAUGGGUGGUGGUGCAUGGCCGUUCUUAGUUGGUGGAUUGAUUUGUCAGGCUAAUUCCGAUAACGAACGAGACCUCCGCCUACUAAAUAGAAAGUUAUAAUACGUUAUAUCUUUCUUCUUAGAGGGACACUAUACAUGAAGUGUAGGGAAGCUGGAGGCAAUAACAGGUCUGUGAUGCCCUUAGAUGUCCUGGGCUGCACGCGCGCGACACUGAUUGAUUCAACAAGUGGCUGAUUUGAAAGAAUUGGCAACUCUUUUGAAAAUCAAUCGUGAUGGGGAUUGAUGUUUGGAAUUAUCAUCAUGAACGAGGAAUUCCUAG
rnacentral:rRNA from 1 species